AUUGAACGCUGGCGGCAGGCCUAACACAUGCAAGUCGAACGAGUGGCGGACGGGUGAGUAAUGUCUGGGACACUGCCUGGUGGGGGGGGAUAACUACUGGACACGGUAUCUAAUACCGCAUACCAUCGGAUGUGCCCAGAUGGGAUUCGCUUGUGGGUGGGGUAAAGGCUCACCUAGGCGACGAUCCCUAGCUGGUCUGAGAGGAUGACCAGCCACACUGGAACUGAGACACGGUCCAGACUCCUACGGGAGGCAGCAGUGGGGAAUAUUGCACAAUGGGCGCAAGCCUGAUGCAGCCAUGCCGCGUGUAUGAAGAAGGCCUUCGGGUUGUAAAGUACUUUCAGCGGGGAGGCGUUACCAGCAGAAGAAGCACCGGCUAACUCCGUGCCAGCAGCCGCGGUAAUUC
rnacentral:rRNA from 1 species